rnacentral:lncRNA from 1 species
CACGCCCGUGAUAGGCAUUACCACACCCAUGGCAUGUAGUGGACCACGCCCAUGGUGCAGUAUCCAUCAUGCACGUGGAGCAGUAUCCAUCAUGCCCGUGGCCAAGGACUAACCACGCUCGUGGUCAUCACUAGGUUUGGGACGUAGUUCAGAGACUGGUUAUCUCCAAGUCCGGCCAAGUUUGUGACUACCCCCAUUUGGGAAAAGCAGCAAUAUUGAAAAGAAAAAACAAAAAGUGAAAACUGAAACAAAAGAAAAAGAAGAUGAAAAGAAGUAGAACAGCA